AUUGAACGCUGGCGGCAGGCCUAACACAUGCAAGUCGAGCGGAUGAUUGGAGCUUGCUCCAUGAUUCAGCGGCGGACGGGUGAGUAAUGCCUAGGAAUCUGCCUGGUAGUGGGGGACAACGUUUCGAAAGGAACGCUAAUACCGCAUACGUCCUACGGGAGAAAGCAGGGGACCUUCGGGCCUUGCGCUAUCAGAUGAGCCUAGGUCGGAUUAGCUAGUAGGUGAGGUAAUGGCUCACCUAGGCGACGAUCCGUAACUGGUCUGAGAGGAUGAUCAGUCACACUGGAACUGAGACACGGUCCAGACUCCUACGGGAGGCAGCAGUGGGGAAUAUUGGACAAUGGGCGAAAGCCUGAUCCAGCCAUGCCGCGUGUGUGAAGAAGGUCUUCGGAUUGUAAAGCACUUUAAGUUGGGAGGAAGGGCAGUAAGUUAAUACCUUGCUGUUUUGACGUUACCAACAGAAUAAGCACCGGCUAACUUCGUGCCAGCAGCCGCCGCAGUAA
rnacentral:rRNA from 1 species